rnacentral:rRNA from 1 species
UACAGAGGUCUCAAGCGUUGUUCGGAUUCAUUGGGCGUAAAGGGUGCGUAGGUGGCAUGGUAAGUCGGAUGUGAAAUCCCGGGGCUCAACCCCGGAACUGCAUUCGAUACUGCUGCGCUAGAGUACUGGAGAGGAGAUUGGAAUUUACGGUGUAGCAGUGAAAUGCGUAGAUAUCGUAAGGAAGACCAGUGGCGAAGCGGAUCUCUGGACAGUUACUGACACUGAGGCACGAAGGCCAGGGGAGCAAACGGG